GACAACCCAUCUUCCCCAAUCAUCCCUCUCGUCUCCCACCAUGAAACCUCUUUAUUUUGUCGCCGGCGGAGCUCAAGGUCCCUCAAAAAAUGGCUUUCUAAAUUAUCCCCAAAACCCUUUCCCUCUCCAUCUCCCUAGGUCCCUCAGUCCUGCGAACUCCCUCCUUCACUCUCCUCUAGUCUCUCAUUACCUCAUCCCUCUUUCCCUCCGCACAGUACAAUGGUAGGAGUUGUUAGACUCUGCAACUGAAGCAGAGGCAUGGCACCAUGCGACGGUCAAGUCUUAGACACUUUGCAACUGAGUGCAGCCUGUUUUUGUUUUACUUGGGGUGCUCAACAUGAGCCUCUUCUCCUCAAUGGCAGUUAUAAAGCCCUGGUUGGUCCUAGAAGGCCUUAUGAAUUGCAAAACUGGUUCGGGGUUCAGUUGAUUUGAAUUUUGGUUCUCUUUCUUGUUGGAUUGGUCUUACCAACAAACCUUGAUAUACUUGAUGUCUUUGAUGAUCUAAUGUAACUUAGUUAUUUAAUGAACCAUCAGUAUUGUACAACUUUCAAUAUAGAUUCUCUUAAGACAUGAUAUAUAUAUAUAUAUAUAUAAGUGUUAGAUUUCUUCAA